rnacentral:rRNA from 1 species
ACCCUGUGAAGGUAAUAAAAGUAAGCAAGAUGGGCACAGCCCAGAACGUCAGGUCAAGGUGUAGCAUAUGAAAUGGAAAGAAAUGGGCUACAUUUUCUACCACAGAACACCACGAAUAUGCACCAUGAAACAGUGCUUGAAGGAGGAUUUAGCAGUAAAAGAGAAUCAGAGUGUCUCUUUGAAUCCGGCUCUGAGACGCGUACACACCGCCCGUCACUCUCCCCGCAAAUGCACCAAAACAUACCUAAUACCAUAGCACACAUAAGGGGAGGCAAGUCGUAACACGGUAAGUGUACCGGAAGGUGCACUUGGACCAACC